rnacentral:sRNA from 1 species
UUGUAAAUGUAAUGCGACGUCUAGUUG